AUUGAACGCUGGCGGCAGGCUUAACACAUGCAAGUCGAGCGAGCGGUGGACGGGUGAGUAAUGUCUGGGAAACUGCCUGAUGGAGGGGGAUAACUACUGGAAACGGUAGCUAAUACCGCAUACCAUCAGUUGUUCCCAGAUGGGAUUAGCUAGUGGUGGGGGUAAUGGCUCACCUAGGCGACGAUCCCUAGCGGGUCUGAGAGGAUGACAAGCCACACUGGAACUGAGACGCGGUCCAGACUCCUAGGGGAGGGAGCAGGGGAGAAUUUUGCACAAGGGGGGCAAGCCUGUUGCAGCCAUGCCGAGUGUGUGAAGAAGGCCUUCGGGUUGUAAAGCACUUUCAGCGAGGAGGAGUGACUCGCAGAAGAAGCACCGGCUAACACCGUGCCAGAGCCGCGGUAAUAC
rnacentral:rRNA from 1 species